GCAUAUCAAUAAGCGGAGGAAAAGAAACCAACCGGGAUUGCCUCAGUAACGGCGAGUGAAGCGGCAAGAGCUCAAAUUUGAAAGCUGGCUCCUUCGGAGUCCGCAUUGUAAUUUGCAGAGGAUGCUUUGGGUGCGGCCCCCGUCUAAGUGCCCUGGAACGGGCCGUCAGAGAGGGUGAGAAUCCCGUCUUGGGCGGGGUGUCCGUGCCCGUGUAAAGCUCCUUCGACGAGUCGAGUUGUUUGGGAAUGCAGCUCUAAAUGGGUGGUAAAUUUCAUCUAAAGCUAAAUACUGGCCGGAGACCGAUAGCGCACAAGUAGAGUGAUCGAAAGAUGAAAAGCACUUUGAAAAGAGAGUUAAACAGCACGUGAAAUUGUUGAAAGGGAAGCGCUUGCGACCAGACUCGCCCGCGGGGUUCAGCCGGCAUUCGUGCCGGUGUACUUCCCCGUGGGCGGGCCAGCGUCGGUUUGGGCGGCCGGUCAAAGGCCCCUGGAAUGUAGUGCCCUCCGGGGCACCUUAUAGCCAGGGGUGCAAUGCGGCCAGCCUGGACCGAGGAACGCGCUUCGGCACGGACGCUGGCAUAAUGGUCGUAAACGACCCGUCUUGAAACACGGACCUUAUUGAUAUGCAAA
rnacentral:rRNA from 1 species